UCCUUAUAACUUGAAAAAGGAAAACCCUUCAAACUCCCAAGUAAUUAAGAAUCAUGGGUGUUAUCACUUAUGACUUUGAGGUAACUUCCCCAAUCUCUCCAGCUAGGCUUUUCAAAGCCCUUGUUCUUGAAGGUGAUAAGGUUUAUCCCAGAGCUGCCCCUCAUGCAAUCAAGAGUGUUGAGCUCCAAGAAGAUGGUAAGCUCGGAAGUAUCGUGAAGAUAAACUUUGUUGAAGGUGUCGAUUCGCUUUCGAUUACUAAAUAGAGAGCUUGCCAUGGAGAAUGAAUUUCUUGAUAAAAUGGAGGAUAAUGUGGUUGUCCGAGUGUGGUUAGAGAAAACGCAAUUUGAGAAAGGUGAUAACUUGACGGAGGGGUACACAUCAGAAUUAUGGGACUUCACUCAUAUUAGCGUGACUCAGAACAAUCUCCAAGAGUUGAAAGAAAUUUGGGCUCAAUGGAAUGAUGAAGUUAAACAGUUGUUUUAUGGUAAUUAUGGUGAUUUGCCUUAUUUACUUGAUAUCAAGGUAGACAAGCAUCUGUUUUGAGCUCUGGCCCAAUUUUGGAAUUCUGCCUAUAGCUGCUUUACCUUUGGGAAGGUAGACUUGGUACCUACCGUGGAGGAAUAUACAGCUUUGCUGCGUUGCUCGAGGAUUCAAGCUGACAAAGCUUACUCUAGAGCCGUCAAUGUCCCGACUUUUGUAAAGAAGUUAAUGAACAUCACUAGAAUGAGUGAGCAGUGGGUUACAACACAGAUCAAGCAAAAAGGAGAAAGCAAAUGUAUCCCUUAGAAAAGUUUGCGAAAUCUGAUUUUGGUGCACCCUGAUACGAAGAAAAAGGUCGAUGAUUUUGCUUUGAGUAUUUAUGGGUUAAUUAUUUUUCCUAAAGUGCUGGGACACAUAGAUGAGGCAGUUUCGGACUUGUUUGAUCGACUAGAUAGGAGGGUCAAGCUUGUCCCGGUAAUUUUGGCUGAGACAUUCAGAUCUUUAAAUGCGUGUCGGAGGACGGGUGAAGGAAGAUUCAUUGGUUGUGCACAGCUUCUGUUAGCUUGGUUCCACAGUCACUUCUAGAAAGUAGAUAAAAUUUCUUAUCGAGGAUUCUCCGAGAGUUAUUCUCUAUUGAAAGAAUUAGCAAUGACGUUGAGGCGCGACGGCAUUAGAAAAGAAAGAUGGAUAACGAUCUUUCAAAAUCUCCAAGAUGAAGAUGUCGGAUGGAGAGCUCCUUGGUUGGUACCCGAUGAGAUUUUGUACUGAUGCGGAAACUUCGACUGGGUCCCUUUGCUUGGAAAUUGAGGAGCUGUCGGAUAUGCUCCUCAGCUCGUUUUAAGACAAUAUAAAUCAAGACAGUUCAUACUGGCAACACAAGGGCUGGCUCAAUGUGAGUUUUCUUAUAAGGGUGAUAACUACAAGAAAAAGAUUCGAAAAAUGUCUAACGCCUGGAAUUAAACUCGUUGGAUGAAAAGAUUUACCGUAGGACCAAUGACGACCCCCGAAUAUUAUGGGUGGUAGAGUAAGAGGGUCAAUGACAAUAUCCCUGGGCCAAGUCUAGAAGGCGUUCGAUUGAUAGAGGAAUAUUUGCAAGUGGUCACAUCUGAGAUAGAAAUCAUAAAGCAAGAUUUUGAAAAGAAAAAUUAAAAGUUAGGAAAGAAGAUAGAAUAGUUGGAGGGAGAAAAAAUGCACUUGAGAUUAGAUGUUGAUGUUCAGAAGCUAGAAACUGAAAAUUAAUAAAAGGGAAGAAUAAACCGAAAAUUUAAGAAAAGGGAAGAAUAAAGCCGAGGAAGAUUUGGAUAGUUUGAAGAUACACUAUAAGAAGUUGCAUUUAUUAAUGAGAACCGCUAGGUUGGGGAAAACUUCAGAAUAGUGGUGUCAAGAGAUUCGAGAGGAAAAAAGCAAAGCUGAUAGAUGGGAAAGGAAAUUCCAAGAGGCUCAAAUGCGAAACGAGGCCUUAGAGAAGAUUUUGUCAAAAAAUCGAAAUGAAAAAGGUGAACUAAAAGCUAAGGUGGCUGAACUUGAGAAAACUCUUCAUCAUUAUCGAAAUCGUAAUUCUGUGAUGGAGCUAAGAGCGAGCUUAGGCAAGAUUGAGGAAAUGAAAAGAAGAGUAGAAGAAUUAGAGAUGGCAUUACAAAACUAUGAAAUCCGAAUUGAAUUCCUUAAAGCAAUAGAAGAGAUCACAAUAUGGGAGAAGUUGUGGCUCAGAUUCGAGAGGUAGCCGAUUACUUACAGACUUGGCAGUACAGGCCGAUAUACUGAGUGUAACGUACAAACUGGAAUCAAACCGGGGGCAAGAGUUAGCUUCACUGCUUAGGAAAAUUAAAUUCUGAGCAUUAGGGCGAAGCGGUAUAUGUAAUUUGUUUUAUGUAAAGAACUUUGUUUUCUAGUAAAGUUUUCUAAAUGGAAUUGAAUCGGAA